UACGGAAGGCAGCAGUGGGGAAUAUUGCACAAUGGGCGAAAGCCUGAUGCAGCUAUGCCGCGUGUAUGAAGAAGGCCUUAGGGUUGUAAAGUACUUUCAUCGGGGAGGAAAAAACAAAACUAAUAAUUUUAUUUCUUGACGUUACCCGAAAAAGAAGCACCGGCUAACUCCGUGCCAGCAGCCGCGGUAAUACGGAGGGUGCUAGCGUUAAUCAGAAUUACUGGGCGUAAAGAGCACGUAGGUGGUUUUUUUAAAGUCAGAUGUGAAAUCCCUGGGCUUAACCUAGGAACUGCAUUUUGAAACUGAAAUACUAGAGUAUCGUAGAGGGAGGUAGAAUUCUAGGUGUAGCGGUGAAAUGCGUAGAUAUCUGGAGGAAUACCUGUGGCGAAAGCGGCCUCCUAAACGAAUACUGACACUGAGGUGCGAAAGCGUGGGGAGCAAACGAGGGAUUAGAUACC
rnacentral:rRNA from 1 species